GUUAAGUAUAAGAGACACAGAGAGAGGAUUUACCUGUUUUAAGAAAGAGAGAGCAACUCUCAAGUGAGCAACUGUGAUGUCAUCUUAAGUCCCAUACGUAUGCUGAGCUGUAUCCUGCCCAGACAGAGGCAGACUGAGAGGAAAACACACCGGGCUGCUGAGAGGAUAUGAUGCACAUACUGAGCAUUCUUGAAGACCGGCAAGCCCAUGCACUGAACAAUUCAGGCAUAUACAUUACACCUUAUUUGACAGCCAUGCUUCAUGAAGUUGAAGAGAGGAUAACUAACAUGAGACAGGAAGCAAUUCAUUUAUCAGCGCUCUACUAUGAGUAGGCCCUUUGGUGAUCCUGCACCCAGCUAAAGCAAAAAUCAAUGUGCUGCAAUAUCAUCAGAGGAGGAAACCACCAGAUGAGUUGUGUCGUGGACUGAAAGACUGUAGCACUCACAUUGAGCAUAUCUCUCUCAGUGGAAGCUCAGCUUUUAUGCAAAAGCAGCCACUGUAAAUAUUUACAUACCAUGUCUGGCAGCUCAUAGAGACGGAGAACACCUUGAAAUAAGACUGGUUAUAACAUUUUACCUCAUAAUAACCCUGCAGGCCCUGCAGGCAGGGCUGAAUGUUAUACUGUUGUGGUUUCUUGGUUGCUGAAAACAAGAAAGAACUUGAUCAGUAGCUGCACUCUUUAUUUUGUGGUACUUUGUUCUGCGCCUCCCUUUCCCUGCUUGUCCACUCCCCCCCUCACUUCAAGCCUUUUAUAGAAGAAAACCCAUGUUACAAGGAAACACUUACUCACAGGCAUUUGCAUUUACUAGGUCUGUGUUUUAAACACCAGUCAUACUGUAAAACUGACUCUUUGCCUACAUAGUAUAAAGGUAUAGAAUAUUUAUUCAGUACGCAUAUAUUUUACUAAACUUGCCAAUAUAUUGCCAUUUAUGUGUUUGCAAAAUAUAAUGAUCUGAAAUCUCUUGCUCUUAAAAUCUAUGGACAAUAUGUGAUCAUGUUUUUUUAUGAAACAGCAAUAAUUGGAAAUAUAUUUUACAGCACAUUACAAAUAUACUGGAUUGUUAAAUGUAGUUCAAUAUAUUAGAUCUGGGUAUAUGUAAAUAUAUUUCUGUUGCAUAAGUUGCAGGUUUGUAUAUACGUACAUAUGUGUAUUAGUGAUGAUGUUGCUUCUUGCCCUCACCUGUAAAAUACAAAAUAAAUUAGAGAAGCUGGUGAAUAAGCGAGGGUGAGUAUGUAUACUGACGCUUGUGUGGGGGUGUAGAGAUACUUGUUUAUACCUGUAUAAUCAGUCUCCUCACCUGUUUGUACACACGCCAUGGGCUGUGUCAUGUGUUCCCAGCUGGUUGACAUGUGGACUGUGAGAGUGAGCAGGACGGGCCGCAGGGCCAUGGAGCUCACCUCCUAUCCACAGAUGCUCCAGGGAGGCUACCACAGAGUAACUGGCCUCCACUACAUGUCCUCCUUCUCUGAUGCUGAGGACUGCUGUGAUGACACCAGCUCAGGCAGUUCUCUCACCUUGGACUGGCAGACACAGGGGACAGAUGGCUGACACUCCUCCAACAUAUAAAUAAAGAAGAUAAAAUUUCACAGGAGAUGUGUAUUUGCAAUAAAGUUGGUAAUUGUUGUUGAAUA